UAUUAUUGUGAUUAUAAAUGAUUUUACAUUUAACAUUUACUUGAUGAAUACCAGUAGUUGCUGGCAAUGCCAAGCCAAUCCGAUUGAUAUGUUAUUUUUACUUGUAAAGUUAUUACUCUGACUAUAUUUAAUUAUUUAUUAUGUAUAAUAGUAGAACCAGAGAUACUCCAUAUUCCAAAUAGUUAUACUACUCGGCUGUCCAAAAACAUAACACAGUAACUACAUUUUGUAAAAUUGUUCAGGAGAGCCAUUUUACUAAACGUUCACAGGCCUAAUCAUAUGAUAAGCUCGUGUGGUUAUUUGCUUGUAAGUCGAUGAAUAAUCCAAAGAAUCCAAAGAAAAAAAUAUGGUUAAAUUCAGCGUGACUAGAUGUCAAUGAGGAUACAAAAAAGUCGAUUUUGAUAAGAACGUUAGUUACUGUGUUAUGUUUUUGGACAGCCGUACUGUGUUUGGGGUACAAAGGACUACAGAAAUAAUCAGAUGAAGUCGGCUUCUUAUACCUACUAAAAAAAUACAACAACUGAAACUAAAAUCACAACCAUCCAGUUAGACCAUUUGAUAGAAACGUACCAUUAAUUCGGCAAAAUAUAACUGAAAAGGCAUUACGAAAAACUGUCUAAUCAUAUACAUUUUGUGGUAUAUACAAAAUACUUGUAGGCCUUAUAAGAGUGCUGAGAAGAUGGUUUAAUGUGUGUGUUUUGCAGCAAUACCCAGAAACCUUGCAGAGUUGCUUUAUUUGUUGGUAGCUGAUGAAAACAAAAAGUAUAUUCCGACUCUCCAAAACCUUUUUUCUCCGAUUCGAAGUUGUUUCAAUUUGUAUACGUUGUGACUGUUGUGGGUCACCACUUUUAUUAUUUCUUUCUUCUAAAUUAUAUGAUUUAAUUUGUUAAUAAUGUUUAAAAAACAUACAACGAAAAUUUUGAACCUAGCACAACACAGGGUAUAUGUACUCACAAAAUAUAUAGAAAUGUUUUUGAUUGCAUUAGAGUCUGCUUCUAUUUAGUAAUUACUUUAUAAUAUUAUAAAAUAACAUUUAUUUAUUAUAUUAUAUAUUAGAGCAACCCAAACAGCCAUGUAAUAAUGAAUGUAAUAACGGAAC